UACGGAGGGUGCGAGCGUUGUCCGGAAUCACUGGGCGUAAAGGGCGCGUAGGCGGCGCGGGAAGUCAUCGGUGAAAGUUCAGGGCUCAACUCUGAAUCGGCCGGUGAUACUCUCGUGCUUGAGCACUGUAGAGGCAGGUGGAAUUCCGGGUGUAGCGGUGGAAUGCGUAGAGAUCCGGAAGAACACCGGUGGCGAAGGCGGUGAGCUGGGCAGUAGCUGACACUGAGGCGCGACAGCGUGGGGAGCAAACAGG
rnacentral:rRNA from 1 species